rfam:Oryza sativa Japonica Group DNA, chromosome 5, cultivar: Nipponbare, complete sequence.
AAAGAUUGUAGUUUUACACUGUUUAUGUUCAACAUUUGAUCGUCCGUCUUGUUUAGAAAACUUUUAUGAUUAGUAUUUUAUUGUUAUUAGAUGAUAAAACAUGAAUAAUACUUUAUGUGUGACUAUUUUUUUUAUUUUUUCAUAAAAUUUUUAAAUAAGAUGGACAGUCAAACACUAGAUAUGAAAACCCACAACUGCACUUACA